CCCUGAUCAUCCUUGAAAUGUUUCUGCAGCUUCAUUGGAGUCCACCUGUGGUAAAUUCAGUUGACUGGACAUGAUUUGGAAAGGCACACACCUGUCUAUAGAAGGUCCCACAGUUGACAGUUCAUGUCAGAGCACAAACCAAGCAUGAAGUCAAAGGAAUUGUCUGUAGACCUCUGAGACAGGAUUGUCUCGAGGCACAAAUCUGGGGAAGGUUACAGAAAAACUUCUGCUGCUUUGAAGGUCCCAAUGAGCACAGUGGCCUCCAUCAUCCGUAAGUGGAAGAAGUUUGAAACCACCAGGACUCUUUCUAGAGCUGGCCGGCCAUCUGAACUGAGCGAUCAGGGGAGAAGGGCCUUAGUCAGGGAGGUGACCAAGAACCCGAUGGUCACUCUGUCAGAGCUCCACAGGUCCUCUGUGGAGAGAGGAGAACCUUCCAGAAAGACAACCAUCUCUGCAGCAAUCCACCAAUCAGGCCUGUAUGGUAGAGUGGCCAGACGGAAGCCACUCCUUAGUAAAAGGCACAUGGCAGCCCGCCUGGAGUUUGCCAAAAGGCACCUGAAGGACUCGCAGAUCAUGAGAAAGAAAAUUCUCUGGUCUGAUGAGACAAAGAUUGAACUCUUUGGUGCGAAUGCCAGGUGUCACGUUUGGAGGAAACCAGGCACCGCUCAUCACCAGGCCAAUACCAUCCCUACAGUGAAGCAUGGUGGUGGCAGCAUCAUGCUGUGGGGAUGGGAGACUAGUCAGGAUAAAGGGAAAGAUGACUGCAGCAAUUUACAGAGACAUCCUGGAUGAAAACCUGCUCCAGAGCGCACUUGACCUCAGACUGGGGCGACGGUUCAUCUUUCAGCAGGACAACGACCCUAAGCACACAGCCAAGAUAUCAAAGGAGUGGCUUCAGGACAACUCUGUGAAUGUCCUUGAGUGGCCCAGCCAGAGCCCAGACUUGAAUCCAAUUGAACAUCUCUGGAGAGAUCUUAAAAUGGCUGUGCACCGACGCUUCCCAUCCAACCUGAUGGAGCUUGAGAGGUGCUGCAAAGAGGAAUGGGCGAAACUGGCCAAGGAUAGGUGUGCCAAGCUUGUGGCAUCAUAUUCAGAAAGACUUGAGGCUGGAAUUGCUGCCAAAGGUGCAUCGACAAAGUAUUGAGCAAAGGCUGUGAAUACUUACGGACAUGGGAUUUCUCAGUUUUUUUAUUUUUAAUAAAUUUGCAAAAACCUCAA